rnacentral:rRNA from 1 species
UGCGUAGGCGGGUCUUUAAGUCAGGGUGAAAUCCUGGAGCUCAACUCCAGAACUGCCUUUGAUACUGAGGAUCUUGAGUUCGGGAGAGGUGAGUGGAACUGCGAGUGUAGAGGUGAAAUUCGUAGAUAUUCGCAAGAACACCAGUGGCGAAGGCGGCUCACUGGCCCGAUACUGACGCUGAGGCACGAAAGCGUGGGAGCAAACAGGAUUAGAUACCCUGGUAGUCCACGCCGUAAACGAUGAAUGCCAGCCGUUAGUGGGUUUACUCACUAGUGGCGCAGCUAACGCUUUAAGCAUUCCGCCUGGGGAGUACGGUCGCAAGAUUAAA